rnacentral:rRNA from 1 species
CUACGGGCGGCAGCAGUUAGGAAUAAUCUACAAUGCGCGUAAGCGUGAUAGUUUGAGCCAGAGUGCGUCUCAAAUUGGGACGCUUUUGUGAAAUGUAAAAAGUUUCACGAAUAAGGACUGGGUAAGACGAGUGCCAGCCGCCGCGGUAAUACUCGCGGUCCAAGUCGCAGCCAUUUUUAUUGGGUCUAAAACAUCCGUAGCUUGCUUAGUAAGUUUCUUGUGAAAUCUUAUGUCUUAAACAUGGGGCGUGCAAGAAGUACGGCUUAGCUAGAGACCGGAAGACGUGAGAAGUACAUCUAAAGUAGCGGUCAAAUGUGUUAAUCUUAGGUGGACUAACUAGAGCGAAGGCAUCUCACGAGGACGGUUCUGACAGUAAGGGAUGAAGGCUAGGGGCGCAAAUGGGAUUAGAUACCCCCGUAGUC